rnacentral:rRNA from 1 species
CCUACGGGAGGCAGCAGUAGGGAAUCUUCCGCAAUGGACGAAAGUCUGACGGAGCAACGCCGCGUGAGUGAUGAAGGCUUUCGGGUCGUAAAACUCUGUUGUUAGGGAAGAACAAGUGCUAGUUGAAUAAGCUGGCACCUUGACGGUACCUAACCAGAAAGCCACGGCUAACUACGUGCCAGCAGCCGCGGUAAUACGUAGGUGGCAAGCGUUAUCCGGAAUUAUUGGGCGUAAAGCGCGCGCAGGUGGUUUCUUAAGUCUGAUGUGAAAGCCCACGGCUCAACCGUGGAGGGUCAUUGGAAACUGGGAGACUUGAGUGCAGAAGAGGAAAGUGGAAUUCCAUGUGUAGCGGUGAAAUGCGUAGAGAUAUGGAGGAACACCAGUGGCGAAGGCGACUUUCUGGUCUGUAACUGACACUGAGGCGCGAAAGCGUGGGGAG